rnacentral:rRNA from 1 species
GGCUCAGGAUGAACGCUGGCGGCGUGCUUAACACAUGCAAGUCGAACGAAGCACUUUAUUUGAUUUCCUUCGGGACUGAUUAUUUUGUGACUGAGUGGCGGACGGGUGAGUAACGCGUGGGUAACCUGCCUUGUACAGGGGGAUAACAGUUGGAAACGGCUGCUAAUACCGCAUAAGCGCACAGCAUCGCAUGAUGCAGUGUGAAAAACUCUGGUGGUAUAAGAUGGACCCGCGUUGGAUUAGCUAGUUGGUGAGGUAACGGCCCACCAAGGCGACGAUCCAUAGCCGACCUGAGAGGGUGACCGGCCACAUUGGGACUGAGACACGGCCCAAACUCCUACGGGAGGCAGCAGUGGGGAAUAUUGCACAAUGGGCGAAAGCCUGAUGCAGCGACGCCGCGUGAGCGAAGAAGUAUUUCGGUAUGUAAAGCUCUAUCAGCAGGGAAGAUAAUGACGGUACCUGACUAAGAAGCACCGGCUAAAUACGUGCCAGCAGCCGCGGUAAUACGUAUGGUGCAAGCGUUAUCCGGAUUUACUGGGUGUAAAAGGGAGCGCAGGCGGCGCGGCAAGUCUGAUGUGAAAGCCCGGGGCUCAACCCGGUACUGCAUUGGAAACUGUCGUACUAGAGUGUCGGAGGGGUAAGCGGAAUUCCUAGUGUAGCGGUGAAAUGCGUAGAUAUUAGGAGGAACACCAAGUGGCGAAGGCGGCUUACUGGACGAUAACUGACGCUGAGGCUCGAAAGCGUGGGGAG